AACAGUCUUGAAGGUAGUAAAGUGGCCUCCAUAAGAUGAUCCAUGACACUGUGUAAGGAUCCCAUCAAUCUCCUCAUUAGCAACCACUCUUCUAUAAAGUUGAUCUUUGCAGAGAAUGUAGAGGUAUGGCUCAUCCCAGUAGUAUCUCUUCACAUCCUUGUAGAACUUCUUCUUGGCAUAACCCACAAGAUUCAAAGACUCUUUUCCUGUGGCUAGGUAAUUCACCAAAUCAGCAUACC
rnacentral:lncRNA from 1 species